GACGAACGCUGGCGGCGUGCUUAACACAUGCAAGUCGAACGGUAAGGCCCUUUCGGGGGUACCCGAGUGGCGAACGGGUGAGUAACACGUGGGUGAUCUGCCCUGCACUUUGGGAUAAGCCUGGGAAACUGGGUCUAAUACCGGAUAGGACUACGCGAUGCAUGUCGUGUGGUGGAAAGCUUUUGCGGUGUGGGAUGGGCCCGCGGCCUAUCAGCUUGUUGGUGGGGUGAUGGCCUACCAAGGCGACGACGGGUAGCCGGCCUGAGAGGGUGUCCGGCCACACUGGGACUGAGAUACGGACCAGACUCCUACGGGAGGCAGCAGUGGGGAAUAUUGCACAAUGGGCGCAAGCCUGAUGCAGCGACGCCGCGUGGGGGAUGACGGCCUUCGGGUUGUAAACCCCUUUCAGCACAGACGAAGCGUAAGUGACGGUAUGUGCAGAAGAAGCACCGGCCAACUACGUG
rnacentral:rRNA from 1 species